UCUGCAAGGACUUCCUUACAGCUUGGUGCA
rnacentral:piRNA from 1 species